rnacentral:rRNA from 1 species
GACGAACCGUGCGAACGUUAUUCGGAAUCACUGGGCUUAAAGCGCGUGUAGGCGGGCCGGCACGUCGGUCGCUGAAAGCCCCCGGCUCAACCGGGGAAGGGGCGCGGAUACGACCGGCCUGGAGGGGGGUAGGGGGACCUGGAACUUCCGGUGGAGCGGUGAAAUGCGUUGAGAUCGGAAGGAACGCCCGUGGCGAAAGCGAGGUCCUGGACCCUUUCUGACGCUGAGACGCGAAAGCCAGGGGAGCGAACGGG